UACAGAGGUCCCAAGCGUUGUUCGGAUUCACUGGGCGUAAAGGGUGCGUAGGCGGUCGGGUAAGUCUGAUGUGAAAUCUCACAGCUUAACUGUGAAACUGCAUUGGAUACUAUCCGGCUAGAGGAAUGGAGGGGAGACUGGAAUACUUGGUGUAGCAGUGAAAUGCGUAGAUAUCAAGUGGAACACCAGUGGCGAAGGCGGGUCUCUGGACAUUUCCUGACGCUGAGGCACGAAAGCCAGGGGAGCAAACGGG
rnacentral:rRNA from 1 species